GUAUAUUUGGCCAUUUGUUUAAGAUCUGUUUUUCCAUGUUAACAAGGGUUUGGAUGGAUAGUUCGUUUAGGUAGGAUUUUGUGGGUGUGUAUGUGUAUAGGUAAUAUAAAUGUAGGUAUCUAUGUUUGCAUGGGUUACCUAGAAAGUUACAUAAGGUAGGCUUUUUUUAUAGCCUACCCAUACUUGUUUUUCAAGUAAGGGAUUUUCUUUAAAAAAAAAAACACUUCAAAAAUUAGUGAUGGUAAUAAAUCAAGAAAUACAAGGAGAAUUUGUGAUGGCAUUAAUUACAAAUCUGAUGUGCAUAUGUGUAUGUAUAUAUUCACAUAUGAAGACAUGCACAUCCAUAUUUGUAUGUUAGGAUAUUUAUCCAAAUUUAUAUUUACCCGUAUCUAUGUAUGUUUAUAUGUAUAUACACAUAGGUACAAAUAAGUUCAGUAAUGGUUGCAUUAGUAGGAAGAUUAAUUCACCGUCACAAUAUUUCAGGCUUGGUCUACAAGAGUGGCACAUUGGGUACGUGUCUCCCUUCAAAAGCUGCUGGCAGACUAAUGCCUUGGAUAUGCAGGAGGCUCACAUUCCUGCAUUUAAGUGACCCUUACCAAAUGUAUUGAGUGUCACUUCCUUUCAUUUGUUCACUCACUUGCAUACACACACACACACACACACGACAUAAAUACUCACAUGUUUUCACUUUCUGAAUCCUUGCACGAAAGAGUUGAGAAAAAAUUUGGUAAUAUUUGUUGAAAUUUCAUUUGAACAAAUCAUUUCAAGGAUCUGUAUUUCACAAGAAUAAUAAACCCCAUAACUUG